GAAUGGGGAAACCCAGCAUGAGUUAUGUCAUGUUAUCGAUAUGUGAAUACAUAGCAUAUCAGAAGGCACACCCGGAGAACUGAAACAUCUUAGUACCCGGAGGAAGAGAAAGAAAAUUCGAUUCCCUUAGUAGCGGCGAGCGAAACGGGAAGAGCCCAAACCAACAAGCUUGCUUGUUGGGGUUGUAGGACACUCUAUACGGAGUUACAAAGGACGACAUUAGACGAAUCAUCUGGAAAGAUGAAUCAAAGAAGGUAAUAAUCCUGUAGUCGAAAAUGUUGUCUCUCUUGAGUGGAUCCUGAGUACGACGGAGCACGUGAAAUUCCGUCGGAAUCUGGGAGGACCAUCUCCUAAGGCUAAAUACUCUCUAGUGACCGAUAGUGAACCAGUACCGUGAGGGAAAGGUGAAAAGCACCCCGGAAGGGGAGUGAAAUAGAACCUGAAACCGUGUGCUUACAAGUAGUCAGAGCCCGUUAAUGGGUGAUGGCGUGCCUUUUGUAGAAUGAACCGGCGAGUUACGAUUUGAUGCAAGGUUAAGCAGUAAAUGUGGAGCCGUAGCGAAAGCGAGUCUGAAUAGGGCGUUUAGUAUUUGGUCGUAGACCCGAAACCAGGUGAUCUACCCUUGGUCAGGUUGAAGUUCAGGUAACACUGAAUGGAGGACCGAACCGACUUACGUUGAAAAGUGAGCGGAUGAACUGAGGGUAGCGGAGAAAUUCCAAUCGAACCUGGAGAU
rnacentral:rRNA from 1 species